rnacentral:lncRNA from 1 species
AUAUCCUGGCUCCUACUUGUGCGGUGUAUGAGCUGAGGUACCUGUGCCUGCAGCAUGAAAUGCAGGUCCCCCGUGGGGGACGUCAGUACGAAAUAUGUACUGAGUAUGUAAAGCUGUAGAUAAUCACAUAUGAUAUAGGAGCUCAAUAGAAAUCAGAAACAAGUGAAUAAAUCAUAAUAGGAGUGGACCACACUUACUAGAACUUGUGACAACCUGUACAUUGUAUUUAUU